CACGCACAUGGAGAAUCAGGUCAUCCGUCGUCACCAUCAUCCGUGUAGCUGUGAUCUUCCAAAACAGUCCUAAUUUCGGGCAUCUUGUCCUGUUCUUCCACAAACACAUUCACGCUCAUGGUGGUCUAUGUCCUAAAUUGCAGUUUGGAAAAAUCUAGCCACUGAUUCAGCGGAGAGGCCAGGCAUCAGAACUGAGGCGUCUGAAGGAGCCGGGCAGGUGAAUAAAGGAGUGAAGAGGGCCAGGAGCAGCGAAGGGAUGAAUGUGGAUUUCAUAGGAAAUAGAUAAUUUCUUACGUUGAAAACUAAUAUUAAAAAAGGGAAAAUGACAAAAAAUAUUGUGCUGGGCAGAAACCAUGCCUGUCAUGGACUGAAUGGUGCCCCCCCUGCCCCCAAAUUCGUGCAUUGAAGCCCCAGCUCCUAACAUGACUGUAAUUGGAGAUGGCCACUUUAGACGGAACUAAGGUUAGAUGAGGUCACAAGGGCGCCCUGAUCUAACAGGACUGGCGGCCUGAUAAGCGGAGGAACAGAGAUUUCCCUGCAUCUCUGAGGAGAGGCCGUGUGAGGCACCGAGAGAAGAGGAGAAGGCGGCCGUGUGCGAGCCGGGAGGGAGCCCUCACCAGGAACCGUGCCGGCUGGCUCCCUGACCGUGGACGUGCAGCCUGCAGGACUGUGACAUGAACUUCUGUUGUUUAAGCUGCCCAGUCUGGGGAGUUUGGGUACAGUGGCCAGAGCGUUCUGAUAUGAGGCCCAAGGCCUGCACGUGCCCAUGCUCCCCACGGACACAAGCUCCACCCCAGUUACGCUCUGGGCUGAAUGAAGCGUGACCUGCUCAGGGGUGAGGGCCCCAGUCGGUUCAAGCAUCAGCCUCACAUGGCUUUGAAGUCACAGCACAACGGCAACAGGAUAUUUACUCACUGAACAUGAUUAAAACCAGUGCGUAAAGCAGGAGAAGGAAAGCAUCUUGAGAUCACAGAAAGAAAAGGUGACCACGUCCUGAAGAGGCGGCCGCCCUGGCCUCGGAACGAGCCUCCUGGUCACUCGCAGCCCCUCGGGCCUGGACGGGUUGGCCCCCGCAAGACACAGGCUGCAGGACACUUAGCUUUUACUUUCUUCUUCCUUUCCUGUUCCAGGUCAUUGUCCUCCUGGUGCAGUUCCAACAUUGUUUAAUUUAAUCUGCAUGGUUCAGAAUUUCAUUCAUUUGUCAAUAAUUAUUUUUUCAGCAUUUGCUUUGUGCCAAACACACGUCUAGAUGCUGAGAUGCAUCAGUGAAGAAAAUUCAUGCGUUCGCGGCACUUCUGUUCUACGUGGGCGGUACAGACAAUGGACAAAGUCAAGAACGGGUGACGUGCUAGAAGGCUGCAACGUGAUCUGCACGGUUUCUUGAGACUCAUUUCUGCUCUAGAAGAAAACAGUUGGGAUGGGUGACACUCACAUGGAAGCACAGGUGUGCAUCAUUACAUUUUGAUUUCCAUGUGGACUAUAUCAUGUUCACCACCAAAGACUGAUCACUGCCUGUCACAGUACCUCUGAUGGGGAGCAUUUUAAUCAGAGUGGCCAGGGAGGGUCUGGUUGAAAGGCGAAUGCUGGCGCAAAGACUCGAAGGAGCUGAGGGAGCAGGACACACAGGUAUGUUGAGGAGAUCACGCGGUGCAUGGGGAGCCCCACGUGCCAAGAGCCCAGCGUGAGCUUCUCCGAUAAGCUCCAGGAACAGCAGGGAGGCCAGGGCGGCCAGAGAGGGGUGAGCAGAGCCGUGGGCUGCAAAACGGGAGGUGGCUCCGGGCCCCGUGGUCCUUGUGAGACCUUCGGCUUCACUCCGAAACGGUUUCCACUGGAGGGUUUGCACGGGAGAGCGGUGGAUUUACACUCUAACGUGAUCGGUCUGGCUGCUGCUCUGAGAGGUUAGAGGGCAGAGGUGGAGGCCAGUUGGGGAAACCGCAGGGAUCCAAGCAGAGGUGACGGUGGCUCAGCGGAGUGGAGCAGCACAGCUGGUGAGAGGGGGUGAGAUUCUGGAUCUAGUUUGAAGUAGAGCCGACAGGAUGCCAGCCCUGGCGGUCUAGUGGUUAGAUCCACUGCUCUCGCCACAGCCAGGUUCGUGUCCCAGUCAGGGAACCACGCCAUCCAUCUGUCGGUUGUCACACUGUGGCAGCUGCAUGUUGCUGUGACCGAAAGUGAUGCCACUGGGAUUUCAAAUCCCAUCAGGGUCACCCACAGUGGACAGGUUUCAGCGGAGCUUCCAGACCAAGACGGACUAAGAAGAUGGACCUGGCCACCCUCCUAAACCCUAGGAACAGCGGCAGAGCCGUAUGUACAUACCGGCUGCAGAACCGGAAGGUGAGGGCAUGGAGCAGAAAGACAGGGCAGGUUCCGCUCCGCUGUGCACAGGGCUGCUAGGAGUCAGAACCCACCGGACGUCAGGGGCAAAGAGGAUUUUCUAUGAAAUUGGAUGUGGGGAGUGAGGAGAGGAAGAGUCGAUGAUGAACCCAAGAAUCUAAGCCUCGGGGAAAGGACGGAGGAAUACAGAGAGGGGACGAGAAUCGUAAAGUCAGCACAGAGAAGGCUGGGUGACAGCCUUUCGACAAUUUUACUUUAACUCAAAAUGUAGCGUGAAAGUCUUUUGGCAAAUAUUUCUCUCUCAUGUGGACCCACAGCUCGAUGCAGCAUCACGAAGCGCAAGCUUUGUUAUUUUUCAGGUGAGAGAGAGUCUUUCAAACAGACUUUUCCUACUGUGUCUGCUGUCAACGCUUGUGUCACAGGACACCAGAGCAGUUAGCGACCAGCUCGCUUUCCUCCUUCCCAGGGCUGUGGACUGCACACCCCACUCAGAAGUCGGGGAAAAAGCACGAUAUCCUCCCACCCAAACCAGCGACCUUGCAAGCUCGUGUGAAGUCCUUCUCUAUCGUUAUACACACUCACCCAAGACAAAACAAAAAAACCUGGCAAAGACUCGGAAAAAAAUUCUUUUUCAUGAAGUUGACAAACUCUUGCCUUUUUCAAAAACCAGCUUUAGGGCUGUGUCUUAAGGAAAAGUUGAGAUAUUCCUUUUCCUCCUAAUUCUCUUUUACUCUGCAAGAGAAAUGAAGGGGGAAAGAAAGCUUGUGAUAAAGGAUGAAGAAACCAAACUUAUCAAGAAAGUCGAUAGAAAAUACAAAUAAGUCAGGAAGAUGGAGGAGCAUGUGUGGUUUUUCUCAAGGAGGGGUUUUGCUGUCUACUCGGGGUGGUCUAGGCUAGCUGGGAAAGUGUAUAAAUUGAUUCAGUUUUCCUCUGGGCACUCAUCCAACUGUCUCAAGUCAACGCUGGUGGUGCUGUAAAGUUUUUAUUAUUCAGGGAGAACUCUGCCCAGCCUCGGUGCUUCGGAAGUUAGCAGUUCAUUUCCUUGAGCCUGUAGCUACCAGCAUGGAGCCCCUCGCACGGCAGACGCAGAGUCGGUUGAACCACGGGUUCAGGGCUGUUCCUGCCUUGUUUUGUGAACUGUCAUCCAUCAAAUUCCCUUCUUCCCACAUCUGCCACCUCCUACCCACCCUCAUGUGCACUCUGAUCAACACACCAGAUAACACCAGAUUGACCACAGAUUCAUGUGGCACGGCAGCCAUAUACCAGAUGACUCAUCUUUGGACUUUCUGGGAUUUCAGGGCAAAUUUUCCCACAGAGUGUAUGCGCAGCCCAGGCUCCCUCUGAUUACGGUCAAGCAGAGAUAGACAAGAACAGAUGAUUGUGGUUCCAAUAAGGAGACCUCACUCCACGUAAAGAUCUUUGCUUGGUGAUUGUGAACACAAAGCCCUCAGCGCUCCCCUGAUACGUCAAACCAUCAGAGGUUCGUUUCGCCUGCACGGGGCAACCUCAAACGCAGCCCUCCCUAAUCUGAGAGGAUAGGUAUUCUGGGAGGAUCCAAAGCUAUGAAAGAGGAAAAGGGAAGUUUGGUUUGUUUUUAUCAGAAACUGUGUUAGCUUAAAACAGAGAAAAGCCAAGCCUGACCGUCUUCCUCAUUAUUAAACCAGCUCAGAGAGGCGCAAAAUCUCAUUUUUAACACACUUCUGUGAACCAAAGAAAGUAGCGUGCUGUGUAUCAUUGGAACUUAAUGCUCAGGAGACCACGAAGAAUUUUUCACAUACACAAUUUUUAUAUAUUUGCAAAGCAAAAGGAAUUACAUUUUCAUCAGGUGCUUUUCUGUAAGUCAGUGCCAAACUCUCUUUCCUCCUUCUGCAUCUGAGGUGAGCUCAGCCUGUUUCAAGCUGGGAGUGCUGGGAAAUACGGAUGGCAGAGGGCCAGGGGAACUGGUGGGUUUCAACGUGUGUGUGAUGCAUAGGUAAGUCAGCGUCUUCCCCGCACCUCCUCCUGGCCCCACGGAUGAGCUGGUGGUGGAAGGACGAUUACAGUGGAAGAACCAGGCACCUUCCCUCGCUUCUGUACCUGCGCCGGUGGGCCACCGGCUCCCCACUUUUCCCAGCAGGGUUUUCAGCAGAGGCGUCUGUGGCUCUCAGGGCUGUAGGAUCAACCCCUCUCACCAGACCCGACAAAACGCUGUUGCGCAAACUGUGACGAGAACAUCAUCGUGCUGUGGAGUUUCUAGCAAAACAUUUUUCUGUUUUGCUUUUGAGAAAAAUGUAGGUAUUGUGUUAAAUCAAAUAGCUCAUACAUUUUGAGCUCUUGGUGACAGAUAUUAAUUAAAAUUAAUGUUUUCAAAUGAAUCAUUGAACAUAUAGCCAGUUACAUUUAAGUGUUUAAAUUAUGUUCACGGGGAGAUGUACGUUUGGAUCUUUCUUUUUUCCUCAAGAAAAGAGCACUGAACAAUUGUGUGUUUUGUAAAACCAUUUGAAAGUAUAAAAUCAUAACAUUUUAGAGAUUGGAGAAUCUUAGGCAUUGCUUAGCUUGCUCUGUUUGUUUUCUGCAACAAAACUUGAUCUAUAACCUAAAUGCCUCAUUGGAAACAACCAAGCAGACAGUGGCUGGGGGGCACGCUGAGGGGUCUCCCCACCACAUCGUGAUACUCCUGACUCGACACCAUGAUUGCACUGUUCCAAAUCAUAGAAACUCUGCAAUGUAUUUGCAAUGGUAGAGUCUAAGGAUCUUAGCCAAUACAAAUACAAUUUGCCAACUGACAUUGUAAAGCAACAAGAUCCCAACUAUCAAUUAUUUCUUCACACUGUGCUUUUGUAACUGUCUGGUCCACCUCAUUACUAACUCUGGCAUUACCCUGGAUCCUCUAAAUAAGCGCCUAAGUUUGACUCAUGAUGAUGUCUCGUUUCUGGAUCCGUCUUCGUGCUCCCUCUGGCCAUCCCUCAGUUACCACAACGUCUGCCCAGUGUAGCACUUUGGCCAGAAAAGAGAAGCUUGAGCACCCAGAAAAGUACCUUUCUGUCCAAUUAGAAGCUAAAAUUUCUUUGACUUCCUUUUGAAAGUUAUAAAUUCAAUUACCCACUCAUUCAUUCAUUUAGGAAUUCUUGUGGGGACACAUUCCAAGUCCCAGGUGCUGAAUUAGUUGCUCUGGAGAGUUGGAGCUGGAGGGGGCACUGUCUGUGGAUGCACAGGGCCUGUUGCCUGGGGAGGGCAGGGCAGAGGCAGCAAUAAACAGAGGUGCAAGGCAGGUGGGUCGGGAGCAGAUAGGAAGGAGCUGUAUCUGGGAGUCAUAAGGAAAAGCUUUGUCUACAUAUGCAAAAUCCAAGAAGUCGAGACGCCUGGUGCCAGAACUCUUCCAGGAACAGCCUCGUGCCGCUGCACUGAGGAAGGCACAGCCCGCUGGGAACCUGCGUUUGGCACUGUGAUCACAGGAAUGUCAACGGUCACGGCCAGAUCACCUAAAAGGACAGGUGGAAGGUCUUGGGACCCCUAGAGUGCAGGUAGAAGGUCAGAAUUGGAGAGGACAGGCCAGAGAGAAUCUACUAGAAGACCACCUGGCCAUCUGUAAGCCACCCGAGAAACGGUCAAAUGAGACAGCUCUGGGAACCCACAUUCUCAGCUGCUUGGCAGCCCAGCCUGGGCUGCCUCUGGGAUCUGACCAGUCACAGGCACAUUUUGGCAUUUUAGGUGCAUUUCAGUCAGAGGAGUAAAUUGUCUCUUUGCACAGUUGAGGUUGAGGCAUAGCAAGUAGCACUUUCUCUGCUAGAGCCCAUGCAGCCCCAAGUGCUCUCACAUCUCUGCACGUGCCUGGGGGACACCCCAACCACUGCGUUGCCUAAAGCUCAGACCUCUCCCACACACUGGGUACCUCUCAGGGUCAAGGCUAGGAAGAGGCCAGCGAGGCGCCUAGGAUGCAAAUGCAAGUAGAAGCUCGCUGUCAGGUGCCCGGCCUGCACUUGCACCCUAAGGGUGAGCGAGCACUUCCCUAAACCCAGCCUCCUCCCGGAGGGGCUUCACGUUCCAGGAGCAGGAGGAUGGGCCUCAAUGAUUCCACGGCGGGCAGACACUUGCCUAGCAACAAGGAGAAGUGUGGGGCAAGGAGUAGACUGGUCAUUUUCCCAAGGACCUAUGACUAAAAAUCCCCCUUGACGGAGUCCUAAAGGCAAGGAUAUCCCCAAAGCCCAGCCCGGGCACGGCUUUCCUGGCUUCUUUUUUCAAAGGAAAGACUUGAUUCAUCUGUUAACUUGCUUCCUUCCAUGAACCCCUUCACGUCUCCUCAACUGAAAUUCCCCAGGUGCAUUUCAUAGCUCCUUCUUGCUCUGUUCACUGAAAACAGGUUCAAAAUGUAUGCCCCUGAGAAAAAAGUUUCCAUGUAGGAUAUGUUUCUAAUUCUGUUGUGGCUUCAGCCUGGGUUGUAACACCUGAGUCCCUCUAAGGAGCCUGGCUCUCAUGUUCAAACACAGCCUUAGGAUUAGUGCCUGGCUGCUCAGUGCCCUCGGGCUCGCUCCCCUGAGUGAGAGCUGGAACUGGCAAUCAUUUUUAUAAACAGAGCAAUAACCACAAAAUAGUCAACAAAUUAAAUAUAGGGCUUAACAACUACAUGAUCCAGAGAGAAAGCAUAGACAUUAUUAUUUUCACAAUACAUCUGAUUUUUUCUCAUUAUCCAAUUUCUUCAACUUCAUUAUUUACCUUUUUUUUUAAAAAAAAAAAUAAGGCUAGUAUUAUCAUAAAUUUGUAACCAUGUUUUUCUUUUCGUUAAAUUCUCUUUUUCUUGUAUCUUCAUUCACACUCAACAAAGAAAUCCUAUUUGGGAAAGAGAGAAAAAUAAGAGGAAACAAUAGUUUAUAAGGCAGGAGAGGGACAUUUCAUUGCAUAGCACCAUGACUCCAGAAGAAAUCAGUAGAUUUUCCUCAAAGGACAAGAAAGAACUACAUGUUAGGUUUCACAGCCACAAAUUCUUGGAUACCAGAAUAUGAGUUACACCUCAGAGAAAGCAUGCGCUUCCAUCGACGCAGAGCUCAGGGAUUCACAGAGAACCGUUGCCUCUCGGCCGAGGAGCCCGGCUUCCAGGCAGGGGUCGUUUUCCAGGGAACCUGAAUGCAGCCCAGCCGACUCAGAGAUUAAGUAAAAGCCGCCAGCAGCCCAGAAAUGUGGGCCUUUCCCUCGGUGAUUCAUUGCUGUCAGCAGCCGGAUAAACUGUCGCCCAGAGUUGGAGCAUAAAUUACCUCAUCACUGUUGGUUUUAAUUUAAGGCCAAUUUAAAGACCAUUGAAGUCUGAAUGCGGUUGAGAAACAGCUAGCUCGUUUGUCACUUACAAUUAACUCUAGGAUAUUUUAUACAGUUAAGAGCAAGAAGACGGAAGAAUGACAAAAUAUUACAGUUCAUCCAACUAUCACUUUAAGAAAAAUCCUCAGAUAUUUAGAAAAAUGUUUAGAUUUCUGAGACUAUUACACCAAUUCUGUAUAAAUUGUUAAUAACAUUGGUCAACAUCUAUGGAUGUAAGAAGAAAAUUGAAGUGGUAAUUAGGAAAUACAGCCACCGUUUACAUUUUAUUCUAUUAAAUUCUCACAAAACUCUGUGAUAUGGGGCUGCUAUUUUAACCCCAUUUUGCAGAUGAGCAAGCUGAGACUCAGAGAGAUUAGGAAGUUCACUGAGGGGCCCAAUCCCUGUCAGUAGCAGAGCUGGGAUUUGAACCAGGGGAGGAACCCAGCUCACAGGUUUCCUGCCGCACCAGGCUGCUUAAUCCAGACGAUGACCGAGUAUGUGCGACCUGCGUGCUUAGCCGUGAGAAAUGAAAAUAAUCGGUGCAGCAGACGAGUUAGUCCUGUGUGGUCGGAAGAGCCACCGCAUCUUGGAAGCAUCCACUUCUUUGAGAAGGCGGCCGUGUGAAGCGCGGCGAUGCUGCAGCCAGUUGUGUAAGACCCACGGUCAGCCGGAGAGAAACUGAUCCGUGAAUGGGCCUCUCUGUGCUGGAAAUUCUGUUGCUUCCAGGUGCACUGUCCACCUUCCCACCUGUUCUGCACCCUGGGAGGCUGACGUCCAAGACCACUCCCCCAAGGGGACCCUCCUCUCCCUCUGGGAAGUGGUUCAGCCCUACACGGCUCUGACAGGGGACACGGGUGCCGGAGGACGUCUGUGUGGCUGUGGAUCUCGCCUCCCCGGUGCCUGCUGGCCUGAGGGUCGGCAGGACUGCAUUCUUCCUCAGAAGAAACAGCUUGUUUUCCUCAGCUUCAGCUCUCUGUCUGUCUGUCUGUCUGUCUGUCUCUCUUCCCAGUGACCCUCAGUCACCUGUACCUGCUGACUUCGGAGUGGUCGCUUAGCCUCGACUUCGAGUGGUCGCUUUCCCUUAAAGAAGAGUCUGAAGGGAAUCUCGUGUGCACGUGGUUUAUCUGGGAACGUAUCUCAGAGAGCAGGAAGGAGAGGCGGGGAGAGCGAAGGAGAAGGAAGUGAAAAGCCAAAACAAGGACGAGGUGUUGAAGAGGCCGCUGCCAUCGUCGGCUGGUGCUCAGUCCUCAGCAUCUUCUGAAAUACCCGGCAGAGCAGUCUGCUUGGAAGAAGCAUGAAGCGGGCGUCCUGGCUUCCACCAUCUUCUUCCGGGUGGCACUGGCAGGAGCUCGCCCAUGUCCAGGUUGUGCCCGCCUGAAUGCCAGGCAGAGUCCCUAGGCAGCCACAUCACCAAGCCAGAGGGUUCCCGGGGCAGGAUCAGAGAGGCGUCAGGAGCAGGUCGCCCGCAGAGAAGCCGGCGGAGGCCAGAGUCCACGGAGCGCCUUUGUGAAGACGGCGCCCUGCUCUCGCUGCCUCUGGGGUUCCUCACCAGCCUCUCGGUGUUCGGUUUGUUUGUUUCUACUUAACCCUGCCACUCCUUCUAAACAGUCCUUCUUUAAAAUCUCCUCAGUGUCCCGACUCAGACGUCUGCUUCCUGUUACAAGGCCGCCUGCGUCACUGGUAUCCUGAGUCCUCCAAGCCUUCAGCCCCCUCUCCCGUCCCGCCAUCCUCUCCCCAGACAGUGACACCUGAUGGUUUCAUGCUCCUCUCUGCGCUGGGUUGGCUAGUGUACCCCCCAAAUUCAUGUCCUUUCUGGAACCUCAGGGUGUGACCUUAUUUGGAAGUGGGGUUAUUGCAGAUGUGAUUAAGUUUCCCUGCGGUCAUCCUGGAGUGGGGUGAGCCUUUAGUCCAGUAUGACUGGUGUCCUCAUAAGAAGAGGGGAGGGACACAGAGACAGAGACACAGGGAAGAGAGCCUGUGAAGACGGAGGCAGAGAUUGAAGGGCGCAUCUACAAGCCAAGGAACACUAAGGACUGCCAGCAAGCACCGGAGGCUGGGAGAACGGCGUGGAACACGUCUCUCUCAGGACGCCCAGAGGGAACCAACGCUGCUAACAUCUUGGUCUCAGACUUCCAGCCCCCAGUACUGUGGGAGAAUAAAUUUCUGCUGUUUUGGGGCCCCCUGUUUGUGGUAACUUGUUACGACAGCCCUAGGAAUAUAAUACAUCUCUCCAACAAGACUCUCCUUCAAAGUCCCACAGAGGUCUACAAAGACUCAGGUCUCAUUUUCUCUCCACCCGUCAAAGCUUAUCUGUCUUGCGUUUGCCCUUCAAGGUCACAGCCUUUCCCAACCGAGAGGAGGCAAGGAGGCUGAGUGACUCUGCCGACGCUUUACCAUCAGCUCGCGUGAUGCCCAGAACACAGCACGUCUCUUCCAGCUAAGCUCUCCUGUCCUCUUAAGGAAGCACUUUAAGGACCCAUAUUGGCCAAUUAGUGGACCGCGAUUUGGGCCACUGCUCAGACCGUACCCCACAGGAUGCCAGCUGCCGGUGCCCUACCAGCUUGAGUAAGAGGCUCUGCCAGCUUGGAGACCUAAAAUCCAAUGUCCGCCCGCCUGUUGGUUAUCCCAGCAGGGACCACACAGGAGGCAGGGCUGCGCAUCACAGCCCCCGAGGAAUAAACCCUGGGCCCACGGGUCAGGAAGCAGACACCUUAGUGGGUGUAACCACCCUCCCGUGAGCACAAUCACUGCUUGAUAUGCACUUGCUGACCAUUCCCUUCCUGUCUGUCCUCUCUCUCACCUUUCCUUGAACCCAUUUUGGCACACAAUUAACUCUACCAGAAGAAAAGGUCAAAGGGAAGAAUGUGCAACCAGUGUCUCUUGGGUUUGUUGCUCAGAUGUAGUUCUUUAGAUGAAGUCUCAGGCUAAAAUGAGGCUUUGCCUGCCAUGGGUUUGGUUUUGUCUUCCUGGCUGGCAUUUGCAUAUGGCGGAGAGCAGAGAGGCCAGCCACCACGCCUCUCUGCUGCUCUGUCACCACUGCGUAAGGACUGGACACGAGCACUGCCAGCCUGUCUCCAGCUCCCCCAGGAGAAACGCCCGGUCACGGCACGGUUGUGAGGAUGAAACAAGAGACUGUGCGUACGGCAUCAGCACCAGGCAGAGAGGCGGGUGUUAGUGAGUCCUUCUCAGAGCUCUUCCUCUCAUGUUCCACUUUAAGUCUCACUUUCCAUGGUCACUUUGACUAUACUUGUCGAUACAUACUUAAUUUUUUUGCAUCUGCCUUUUCUCCCUAACUUCAUUGUAAACUUGAGGCCAAAUUUUACUAUACAUCACUGUAAAAAAAAUAUUGAUAAUAACAUUUAUGAGCCAACCUGUGUGUCAACGAGAUGCUAAACAUUUCUUACCUAAUCCUGACACUGACCACUGAUAGAGGAUCUUUUUUUUUAAAAGAUUGGCCCUGAACUAACAUCUGUUGCCAAUCUUCUUCUUCUUUUCUUCUUCUUCUUCUUCUCCCCAAAGCCUCAGUACA